AUUGAACGCUGGCGGCAGGCCUAACACAUGCAAGUCGAGCGCGAAAGUCUUCGGAUGAGUAAAGCGGCGGACGGGUGAGUAACGCAUGGGAAUCUGCCUGGUAGUGGGGGACAACGUUUCGAAAGAGACGCUAAUACCGCAUACGCCCUACGGGGGAAAGGGGGGGAUCUUCGGACCUCUCGCUAUCAGAUGAGCCCAUGUCAGAUUAGCUAGUUGGUAGGGUAAAGGCCUACCAAGGCGACGAUCUGUAACUGGUCUGAGAGGAUGAUCAGUCACACUGGAACUGAGACACGGUCCAGACUCCUACGGGAGGCAGCAGUGGGGAAUAUUGGACAAUGGGGGCAACCCUGAUCCAGCCAUGCCGCGUGUGUGAAGAAGGCCCUAGGGUUGUAAAGCACUUUCAGUGGGGAGAAAGGUCGUUCAGUUAAUACCUGAAUGAAUUGAUGUUACCCACAGAAGAAGCACCGGCUAACUCCGUGCCAGCCGCCGCGGUAACAC
rnacentral:rRNA from 1 species